AUUGAACGCUAGCGGGAUGCUUUACACAUGCAAGUCGAACGGCAGCGCGGACUUCGGUCUGGCGGCGAGUGGCGAACGGGUGAGUAAUGUAUCGGAACGUGCCCAGUAGCGGGGGAUAACUACGCGAAAGCGUAGCUAAUACCGCAUACGCCCUACGGGGGAAAGCAGGGGAUCGUAAGACCUUGCACUAUUGGAGCGGCCGAUAUCGGAUUAGCUAGUUGGUGAGGUAACGUCUCACCAAGGCGACGAUCCGUAGCUGGUUUGAGAGGACGACCAGCCACACUGGGACUGAGACACGGCCCAGACUCCUACGGGAGGCAGCAGUGGGGAAUUUUGGACAAUGGGGGCAACCCUGAUCCAGCCAUCCCGCGUGUGCGAUGAAGGCCUUCGGGUUGUAAAGCACUUUUGGCAGGAAAGAAACGUCGCGGGCUAAUACCCCGUGGAACUGACGGUACCUGCAGAAUAAGCACCGGCUAACUACGUG
rnacentral:rRNA from 1 species